rnacentral:rRNA from 1 species
GAUGAACGCUAGCUACAGGCUUAACACAUGCAAGUCGCAGGGUAACAUGAGGGAAGCUUGCUUUCCUUGAUGACGACUGGCGCACGGGUGAGUAACGCGUAUCCAACCUUCCCAUCACUACGGCAUAACCCGUUGAAAGACGGACUAAUUCCGUAUGAUAUCGUUUGGUGGCCUCAGAUGACGAUUAAAGGUUUAGCGGUGAUGGAUGGGGAUGCGUCCGAUUAGCUUAUUGGCGGGGUAACGGCCCACCAAGGCAACGAUCGGUAGGGGUUCUGAGAGGAAGGUCCCCCACAUUGGAACUGAGACACGGUCCAA